ensembl:lncRNA
AAAAAAUGUAGACAUGAAAGAAUAAUCAUAAGGACUCAAGAUUUUUCUCCCUCUUUCCUUCUACUAUCUCCUUGUGACAUGCAACACAUUAUUUUCAGGAUUCCUUUCUCUCCAUUUCCAAAAUCCAAUGAAGAAGAAAAUGGAGUUUGGGUAUCGGUGUUGUCAGGCUGAAAAAUAACCUGUACUGAGGACGGAAAACAGCUAAGGCCUCCACCACUUAUGCUAAUGUUGUUACAACCUAUAUGGGCCUUCCAUUGAAAAGAAGCUAGCACAUUGUUCAAUUCCCCAGGUUGCGGAAACAAGAUGUCAGCAAUACAGGAUUAGAAACACCUACCUGGUGAGUAAACACUUUGAUUUUUCUAGAAAAACAAAAUGAAACAAAACCAUAUACUCUUUCCUCAGAAAAUCUUAAUUAA